UUGGUAUGCAGCUCUGGACCCGUAGAGACUCAGUCCUCACUCUGGUCGGGAACACUGAGGAACAGGUCUUGUUUGGUAUGCAGCUCUGGACCCGUAGAGACUCAGUCCUCACUCUGGUCGGGAACACUGAGGAACAGGUCUUGUUUGGUAUGCAGCUCUGGACCCGUAGAGACUCAGUCCUCACUCUGGUCGGGAACACUGAGGAACAGGUCUUGUUUGGUAUGCAGCUCUGGACCCGUAGAGACUCAGUCCUCACUCUGGUCGGGAACACUGAGGAACAGGUCUUGUUUGGUAUGCAGCUCUGGACCCGUAGAGACUCAGUCCUCACUCUGGUCGGGAACACUGAGGAACAGGUCUUGUUUGGUAUGCAGCUCUGGACCCGUAGAGACUCAGUCCUCACUCUGGUCGGGAACACUGAGGAAUCCCUAGGCAGCCAGGGUCCGGUUGUGAUAGGUCAGCUCAAUGACGAUCACAGAGGAACAGAAAGCAUUUAGUUAGUGGAGACCGAGAGGGACAAAGUCAAAGGUAACGCUUAGGUUACGUCAGAGUCAAAGUAGUUGUGAUCACAAGUAGUUCGAUGAGAGAGUAGUUAUUUUGGCCAAUUCGGUUGCAAAAGGUACACAAGUGGAAAUUAUACCGCUAGAUAUCUGUAUUGCUUUAUCUCUGUAUGUAGUUUUUUGGGACCACGGACCUCUCCUGAAGUGUGGUUUACUUCACUUCAAAUGUGCGUUAGUUUCAUCCAGAGAAAGCGCUGUGUAUUUGAACAGUACUAGAGCAAGUGGCUUCAUUAUCAGUAUGAAUUCAUUGUUACUCUGGAUGAGCUUCCUGAACAAAAUAACUCUAUUGUGUAGAUGUUGAUAUUUUCCCUCCUUUCGUCUGACUUGUAAGUGAAUCCUCUUUAGCUGCAUUUUUCACAGAGAUAUUUUUACCAUUCAACUUCGAGAUCCCUGGUCACUCGGCCAGACAAAGUAGCAGUGAGUAGCAGAGCUCCACAAGCUGUGUACGUGCGAGGCCCCCAUAGACAUGCGUGGUUGUGAGUGUACUGAAUAACCCUUAAAGCAGAUGAGGCACUCUGAAGAUAAUUGGAAGAAUCCUCUCUCUCUCUUCUCUCCUGGUAUUUGUCAACACCUUCUAGUGGGAGCUGCCGAUGAGACAGACAGGAAGAUUAGAUUUAUCACCCUCUCUCUUACUCCACAACCCCCCUCCCUCCUUGUCAUUCUUUGCCAACAGAAGUCUUUCGCUCAGGAAGAGGGUGAUAAAUAAUGUAAGGAGAGCGAGAUGAAGGGUCACAGAUCCCAGCUUUAAGAGGGCUUUGUUUUUGUGUCUGAUUUCUGUUUGUAAUUUUAGGAUUAGUGGAGAUGUUUCCUAGGCCUAUAUGGCUGUUGAGUAGGACUUGGUUAGUGGCAUUCACUAGGCCAUUUGGCCAGUAAAUGUAGGAAGUAUUUUAGUAUAAUGAAGUUAUAGAUCUAUUUUCUAGUUACAGCUUCUGUAUAGAGUUGAGUUAUAUGUAGCCUAUUUACUCAUGUAUUUUUAUUUCCUGGUGUAAAGCCCCUUGAUUGUAUAUCACUCCACAUUAGUUGCCCCCAGGUUUCAAGAGGAAUUCUGUUUGAUGUGAAGCUCGUGGGUCUUUUUUUUUUAAUCUGGUGUAUCUAUGCAACUGGUGGAGAGAGAUGAGGAAAUGUUUGCUACAGUCCGUGCCACUGUGAAUCCUUUACUCCUGUAGAUGUGUAAUAGUUGGAUGGUGAAACUUUCAUCCAGCCAAUCAGAAAAGCAAGGUGAAGCACGUCAGAGAUUCUACAAAGUCAGGACAAUACUUGUCCUGCAAAAAAACAUUAAUUUGAAUAGGAUUUUGCAAGCAGUAGGCAUUUAUAGAUACAUGUGUGGUGGAGCACACCGUCAAAAUGAUUUGGCAAUCAGAAUGUAUUCGAAAAACACAUUUAAUCAUCUUUUGUUGCAAUAAAGACGAAAGUAAAAAUCCACCUGUCGAGCAGAUAAAUAUGUUGAUGUUUUGAACAUUUCUUCUAUAGCUGCCGUUUCCAUUACACGCUGCAAGGAUUGAGUUUUUCAUUGAUGCUUACCUGGGUCAAUGGAACCUGGCUGCUGUGUCACUUGUUUCCCCGUCGCACGGGACGUUAGAGAAGUGCAACAUAGGGCUUUGACACCCGGAGAGGGUGGAAACAGCAAGAUGACACCGGGAGAUGGGAGGGUGACUGCUUUCGGGGCGUUUUAGAUGAACAGUACUUUGUUAAAGCACCUUUGGCAGCGAUUACUGCAUUGACUCUUCUUGGGUAUGAUGCUACAAGCUUGGCACACCUGUGUUUGGGGAAUUUCUUUUAUUCUUCUCUGCCAGAUCCUCUCAAGCUCUGUCAGGUUGAAUGGGGAGUGUUGCUGCACAGCUAUUUUCAUAUCUUUCCAGAGCUGUUCUAUCGGGUUCAAGUCCAGGCUCUGGCUGGGCCACUCAAGGACAUUCAGAGACAUGUACCGAAGUCACUCCUGCAUUGUCUUGGCUGUGUGCUUAGGGUCGUUGUCUUGUUGGAAGGUGAACCUUCACCCCAGUCAGGUGCUGGGCACUCUGGAGCAGGUUUUCAUCCAGGAUCUAUGUACUUUUCUCUGUUUAUUUUUCUUCAAUCCUGACUAGUCUCCCAGUCCCUGCUGCUGAAAAACAUCCCCACAGCAUGAUGCUGCCACCACCAUGCUUCACCGUAGGGAUGGUGCCAGGUUUCUUCCAGACGUGAUUCUUGGCAUUCAGGCCAAAGAGUUCAAUCUUGGUUUCAUCAGACCAGAGAAUCUUGAGUUUUUAGGUGCCUUUUGGCAAACUCCAAACAACCUGUCAUGUGCCUUUUUACUGAGGAGUUGCUUCCGUCUGGCCACCACCAUAAAAGCCUGAUUGGUGGAGUGCUGCAGAGAUGGUUGUCCUUCUGGAAGGUUCUAUCUCCGCAGAGGAACUCUGGAGCUCUGUCAGUGACCAACAGGUUCUUGGUCACCUCCCUGACCAAGGCCUUUCCUCCCCAGGCGGCCAGCUCUAGUUAGAGUCUUGGUGGUUCCAAACUUCUUCAAUUUAAGAUUAAGACCGUUUUAUCUCCAUUUCUUCAUUCAAAGACUCAAUCAUGGACACUCUUAAUGACAGUUAUGGCUGUUUCAUGUGAUGUAUUGUCUACCUUCUUGCCUUUGGUACUGUUGUCUGUGCCCUAUAAUGUUGCUACCAUAUGGUGUUGCUUCCAUGCUUGUUGUCUUAGGUCUCUUUAUGUAGGGUUGUAGUGUCUCUAUGGCUGGGAGGUAUGCUGUAUUUUAUGAUAUACCUGUAUUAAUGCAGAGACCGGUUUGGGUUUUUACUUUUCCUUCUAUACCCCCACUCUGGCAUGCCAACCAGGUACCCCUCUGCCCCCACUCUGGCAUGCCAACCAGGUACCCCUCUGCCCCCACUCUGGCAUGCCAACCAGGUACCCCUCUGCUCCCACUCUGGCAUGCCAACCAGGUACCCCUCUGCCCCCACUCUGGCAUGCCAACCAGGUACCCCUCUGCCCCCACUCUGGCAUGCCAACCAGGUACCCCUCUGCCCCCACUCUGGCAUGCCAACCAGGUACCCCUCUGCCCCCACUCUGGCAUGCCAACCAGGUACCCCUCUGCCCCCACUCUGGCAUGCCAACCAGGUACCCCUCUGCCCCCACUCUGGCAUGCCAACCAGGUACCCCUCUGCCCCCACUCUGGCAUGCCAACCAGGUACCCCUCUGCCCCCACUCUGGCAUGCCAACCAGGUACCCCUCUGCCCCCACUCUGGCAUGCCAACCAGGUACCCCUCUGCCCCCACUCUGGCAUGCCAACCAGGUACCCCUCUGCCCCCACUCUGGCAUGCCAACCAGGUACCCCUCUGCCCCCACUCUGGCAUGCCAACCAGGUACCCCUCUGCCCCCACUCUGGCAUGCCAACCAGGUAUAAUGUGGCAGUAGAAGGGCAUCCAGGAGGGUGGGCAUGUUGCUUGAGCCCCUUCCUACAUCACAACAGAUUCUGUCAAUGCCCUUCUACAAUACUGUCUGCCUCCAACAUGGCACCCUAUAUCCUCUACAUAAUGCACUCAUUUUGACACAGGUGCAAUGUUAAGGACCCAGACUCCAUCCUGUUUCCAUUCAACACGUGCCACUCUGACCACUUGUCAUUACCUCUGGAAAUGAAAACCUCAUGACGUCCACAUCUGGAUAAAGCCAGCCCGUUAUGCAUCUGUCAGCAUCCUCAAGGGCAAUGAUGCCUGUUGGAG